GUAACUUGAUAAAAAAUAAACAAGGAAUCGGCUACAUAGCCUGAGAUUUCGGCCAUUUCUCCCAAAUCAUAGUCGCGUGACGGACGUGUCUGUUGAAGCUCCUCCCGAGGCGGAGGUCUUCACCUCUAUCUCCAAGCUUUCGUUUACCAGACGGACUAAUAAGAAAGAUGAAGAAGACAAACUGUUAAGGCUUCACAAUUACGCUUAGGCCUUGGACAGCUGUAGAACAAAGGUGUGAAGAGACCACAGAGACAAGGAUAAUUGCUUCAAAAGAGUUAUCCACAGCUCAAUACUUCAAUGAAUAUGCUGCUCUUAAAAACCGAAAGGAUAUGUCCUGGUUCAGAGGAGACAUCAAACAUAGCAUGUUUGCUGUUCAUACCACCGUCCACCACCCUUAAGGCUGAAGAACGCAGCAAAAAAGAUUUGACGUCCUUCAAAAGCAGAGACCACGGCCAGUAUUAUUCUUCAUGUCAGAAGUUACUCCGAUAUCUGUACUAUGGUAACAAGUAAGCUAACAAAAUUUCUAUAAUAUGGGCUCACUGUCACCUUUUAUAAUUAUUGUCGGUGAAUCCAUUGAUGCAUGGAUGUUUAAAUUGUAUUCUUAAGUUACUUCUCAUCAAGCAAAAUAUUGUCUAAUAUUACUUUAAUGUGUAAAUUACAUUAGGUACGAUAUAUUCCUGAUAUGACCUACGCAUCAAAGAUAUCGAUGAUCAUAGAUAUUGACAAUUUUUUAACUAAAAAUCAUUUCCAAUUACUGAAAUACUUAAAAUGGCCUUGGGUUAAGACACAUUUUAUUUUGUCUAGUAAGUGUUUUGGGUGUGAUUCUUUGACGGUUUGUAAUGAAGCUCAACCAGAACAUUUUAUAAUAGAAAACGAACAAUAUGUAAAGAAUUUAUUGCACUUUAAUUUUUUUUGGUGUAAAAACUGUUUAGAGUGUAGCAUUUAUGAUCAUUUUCCCGAUGAUGAAUGUGAAUUAUGUUUGAUUUAGAUCUAUUUAAAAGUUUAUAUGACGGUAUUAUUGGGUUGUAUAAAAGUUAGGUCAUUACAUACCUAUUAUCUUAGCUUAUUCUAUAUUUAUUAUCUUAUGUUCUGGCUAAUCAACUAAAAGUAUAAAUUUAUGUAAAGUAACUUGCUAACAUUACAAUAACUGUCAUUUGUUUUUUUAUGUAAACAAUUUAUUAACAAACACAGUUUCUUGAUAUUGUGUACUAGUUUUAAGAUUAAUUCUUAUAACAGAGUAGUUUGUUACCUGAAAUGACUGUAUGGUGUACUGAAUAAAGCUAAUUUCGUAUGUACA